ACGUACACUCCUGCGGGAGGCAGCAGUAGGGAAUCUUCCACAAUGGGUGCAAACCUGAUGGAGCAAUGCCGCGUGAGUGAAGAAGGUCUUCGGAUCGUAAAGCUCUGUUGUUAGAGAAGAACACGUGCUAGGUAACUACUAGCGCCUUGACGGUAUCUAACCAGAAAGUCACGGCUAACUACGUGCCAGCAGCCGCGGUAAUACGUAGGUGACAAGCGUUGUCCGGAUUUAUUGGGCGUAAAGGGAGCGCAGGCGGUCUGUUUAGUCUAAUGUGAAAGCCCACGGCUUAACCGUGGAACGGCAUUGGAAACUGACAGACUUGAAUGUAGAAGAGGAAAAUGGAAUUCCAAGUGUAGCGGUGGAAUGCGUAGAUAUUUGGAGGAACACCAGUGGCGAAGGCGAUUUUCUGGUCUAACAUUGACGCUGAGGCUCGAAAGCGUGGGGAGCGAACAGGAUUAGAAACCCCGGUAGUCCCAUGA
rnacentral:rRNA from 1 species